rnacentral:lncRNA from 1 species
UACAGAUCACCUAUGCCGCCGCCGCCGCCGCGAUACCACGAACAAGGUUGGGCCUACUCUCAGGACUUGUAUAGGCAGCCACGUUUUGGCGGGCCUCUACAGUCCCACCGGGCCAAUUACCAUAAAAAUUAUAGGGGAAGAUCGACAUCAAGACUAGCACCACCCCGGGCUUUUAGUGGACUACAAGGGAAUCAACGCUUGCGAAAUUCAUUUCAAUCACCUCAAUGCAUGUCGGAACAAUCUCGUUUGAGUCACCAACGAUAUUCUCAGGGUAGGACUCGCGAACAAAAUCCAAGGAGAUCAGUCUCCUGACUAGAACGAGUCAAUAAUGUUUCGAAUAAGCGUGCUAGGAAGAGUAGUAAGCAACCUAAGCCGAUGAACGCUGCAGUAACAAAAAGAAAAGAGAAACAGGGACGUGUUAAUUAUGAGAAAACCGAAAAUGUCAUACAAUUUAAAGGAAUGAGCGAGAGGAAUUCAGAUAGGGACACAGACCCGAGGUUAAAAUGUUUGGUGAACGGUCGAGUGGGCUAUUUAACGAUAGAUACCGGAGCUAAGGUUACU